rnacentral:SRP_RNA from 1 species
GCCGGGCGCGGUAGCGGGUGCCUGUAGUCCCAGCUACUUGGGAGGCUGAGGCAGGAGAAUGGCGUAAACCUGGGAGGCGGAGAUCCGGCCACUGCACUCCAGCCUCAGCGACAGAGCAAGACUCUGUCUCAAAAANNNNNNNNNNGAGUCUUGCUCUGUCGCUGAGGCUGGAGUGCAGUGGCCGGAUCUCCGCCUCCCAGGUUCAAGCAGUUCUUCUGCCUCAG